CACCUAGUAAUUUCAGACUUCCUCCCUUCCCCCCUGUUCAGAGAGAAGAAAUUUGAUGAAUGAAUUUAAAUUUUUCUGCGUAAUAUUUUACUAUUUGGGGAGGAUCACUGGAAGACCUAACAGGAUAGCUCUGAAAUGGUAAAAUAUCAAGGACUCUUGGAUAAAGGAGAUACCUGGGGGCAGAGGAAUCUCAGAAGUCUGAAAAUCAUGCCAUGGGAGAGAUGGAGUCAGUAGGAGCUGUGUCUUUUGUAUAACUGGUUGUAAGGAUGUUUUGAGUCAAAGAUGAGGCCCUGGAACUUGAGAUCAUUUCAGCUAUGAGGAAUUUUUGAGAUGUGGAGAAAGCCCUCAAGCAUCUGGAUCAGGAAAGGAGGAAACCCCAGAAAGCAUAUGGGUAAUCUACACAUGGACAAAAUAAAACUUACUGUAGCACAGUUUCUGUUCCACAGUCUCCUUAGGGAAUGAAAUAGAGUAUUCUGACUUCAGAGACAAUUAGCUCCUUAUUUAUGAUGCUUUUGUCUUAUUUGGAAAGCAUACAAACCAAUGUGAAGCUUAUUUUAAUCAUGAAAAUAUUGUAUGAAACACUACAUUUGAUUCAUAUGAAUAAAUUAAUUGGUUUUUUCUUGA